AUGCUUAGACUGCAAUACAUUGAGAAUUUAUUUUUUUUCAUCAUGGAUCCUUUAUCUGGGAGAGAACGAGAAUUCUGUUACUGUAUUAAAAUGCUUAGUGAUGAAGGUUAUGAUACUCUGAAUUUUAAUGUUAAAAUUGAUACUUCCUGGAUUUCCCAGGAAUUAGAAGAUACAAGCAAACCUGAUGAACAAGCAAACAGUGCUGAACAAGAAAAUUUGAACCUCAGAAUGAAAGAGCUGGAGAAAUCGGAGCAAGAACUGAAAGGUGUUUUACAAGACUACAUGGAUUCAGAUUCCAUGCUAAGAAAUAGGAUGAAAGAGCUGGAGCUGUCACACAAAACCCUUCUUGUGAUGAUUGAUCAGCUAAAUGUGAAGGUGCACCAGGUUGAAAAUGCAAAUGUGCGUGUUAAAGGGAAAGUGCGAGUCAUUUGGGAGGAGCUGAUGAACUUGGUUGAAAACCAAGAAAAGUCAGAGAAGAAGCAAAAGGAAAAAUUACAUUGGCUUCUGGAGCAGCUGAAGACAAAAGAAGAUGAAGUAAAAAGCCAGUCAGAAUAUUUUGAGCACUACAAGCAAAAGCAGAAGCGACAAACAACAAUACAGAGAGAAAGGGAAUGUUACCUGCGGGGAGAGGUGUCCAGGCUGGAAAAGCAAGUGUUAGAUCUCAAUGCCCAUAUUGCUUGUUUGACAUCUGAGUUAGAAGAGGGAAUGGCACAGUGUCUCCAACAGAAGGUGGAAUCAGCAUCCACUGGGACUCAGGGCUAUAAACUUUCUGAAAUGGAAGUAAUUGAAUUGAAAACUUGCAUUGAAAACAUGGAGCAUGUCAUGAAAAGCCAUGUUGAGUCAUUUCAGCAAAAUCUGAAGUUCUUAAAGGAAAAAGGGGAGGACAACAGAAGAGAACAGGCAGACCUGCUGACUGAACUCCAGUGUUCCCAGGACACUGAAGACUUUCUCAGGAGAAAAUUGGAAGAAUCUUGCAAUUAUGUUUAUAAUCUGAAAUUGUCUGAAAUCAAACUACAGAAACAAGUGGAAGACCUUUUGGAUGAAAACAGGGUUUUAAAAGAUCAAAGUAGGGUGAAGUUAAAAAAGAAGGAAGAAAAGGACUCACAAUUUACGAGAUUGGAAAAUAGAGACAGUAGUGCUGACCUGCAAUGUGCCCAAGGCAAAAAGUCUCAGUUGGCACCUGAAAGAAAGCCCAAGAGAACUUCUAAGACUCGUGGACACCAUUCAGAGGAAGAGUACACAUAUGGUUGGAAUGGCGACCUAGUCCGGGAUGAUGUUCAAAAUCUGAAAUGGGGAGUAGUAUCAGAUACACUGAGAAGCAGAGCUACACAAACUCCAGUUGUACUGCUACAUGCCAAAGAGUACGAAACACCAGGACAUAGCUUUGAUGGGCUAAAGCAGAUAGAGAAGAUACGGGAAGAAAUUCUACCAGUUUUGGAACAAAAUUCUGGACACUUUGCAAACAUUUCUGAAGAACUUGGUUUAUCUGAGAUCAAACUGGUCACCCUUGGGACAAAAAAGCCAGGAGGUCUAGAGGAUAGUUUCACUUUGUUUAUACAUACCCCAAGCUAUCCUGCAGCAAGACUGCUUCCACCUUGUUCUGAGAAGUUAACUAUUGAUGAGAUAUGUAAGGAAACCAAAGACAAAGAAUGCUUUUCUCUCAUGAAGGAACAAGCUAUUAAUCUACCAGCAAAGAUGUUCCCUGUUUCUGUGGUUGAAACUUUGAUGAGGGACAAGCCCUACCUUACCUUGUUAAAACCUGAAAGCUACCAUAUAGCAGCUGUCACAGUGGUGAAGAAAAUGAGGAGUUUGGAUUUCAGUGAGGCAAAUACCACCUUUUACUCUGAUGGCCUCUAUGUUGUUGCAGAACAAGGUUUUUCUGAAAAAGCUUCUGUAGUUCUUCAUGGAAAUCCACCUUGCUUUGUGAAUGACAAUUUCACAUUCUCUCUAGAAAAAUGCUGUUUGGAAAAACAUCAGAAAAACAAACAAAUCCUACCCAAAAAUAAAUGUAAAAAUAAAAGUCUGGAUGAAGGUGUUAAUGAUAUAAAGUAUCACCAAAGAAUCUUUAUAAGAAGAGUUAAAGAAGAAGAAAUACAGACUGAGAAAGCCCAAGCACAACAAGUUACCUGUGUUUUUGAGGAAAAUUCUGAAGUUAUAAAUAAAACUAUAUUGAUUUGGCCUGGGAAGCUUGUAAUGGACACUAAAGACAAACCAGGUAGCCCAGAAGGUGUCCACAAUAUAUCUGUAGAUUUUAAAGACUUACAGAAUCAUUUCAAUGGGAGUCUUGAACUAAAGAAGAAACAAGAAACCCUCUCAGUAACCUGCAUCUCUGAUGUGACCAGGACAUGCAAUAGAGGAGACAUAAUGGAAACGGAAGAGAAAGAAGAGAAACCUCAGAAAACAACUCACCAAAUAAAGUUGUCCAGGAAUGUUGGACUGAAAGAAAAGAAAGACCAGUCCAUGAAAUUGCAUAAAUCAAAAGAGAAGAAUUUCUCAUGUCAAAAGAUGUCUGCUGAAAAUGCGCAAUAUGCAUAUCCUCAGAAAAGAUUUUGGUCACAGGAAGAGAGUUAUCCGCUAGAAAUACUGUCUCCUAUGCAAAAGAGUUUGCUUAUGUUUGUAAGCAAACAGUUCCUGCCAGAAAGCAAUUUUUAUGAGUAUUUCUGUCAUCUGUCACCACUGGAAGCGGUUAAUGAGCAUAAUGUGAAAAUAUGUACAUUGAAAAAAGCAGUGGCUGUGUGUUCUCAGAGAAUAUUUCUACUGAUGCAAGAGAAUGAAAAUUACUCAAAAAAGGUCUGUUUAUUACAAGAGGAGAAUGAGAGAUAUGUUCAGAAGAUGUGUGCACUGGAAGAGGAGAUGAAUGCAUAUUUUCAAUAUGCUUUAGAAGUAGAUGAAGCUAACAUUGCUUCUUUUCAAAAUUUACUUAAUGAGAAUGAAGUUUCUGACAUAUACAACAUAUGUAACAACAUAUCAGAAGAAAAUAGGAUGAGCCCAAGAACAAUUUUUGCCGAAAACUUCUCUAAGAAUCUCUCUUAUGUUGAAGAUAAAAAUAGGAAUUCUGACAAAGAUUCCUUGAGAGUUAAAUCAAAUCACCUUCCCAAGAGUGUUUUAUCCCUUGGUGAAAGGAAAAUGAAGUAUUUACAGCUGCUUUUAGACUUGAAAGAAGAAAGAAGUAGGUGCUUCAUAGAAAUAGCUAAAUUAUUACAAGACAAUGAGAACUAUGUAGUGAAAUAUAAUGAAUUAAUACAAGAGAGAGAGAGAAACUUGCACAGAAUAUCUCUUUUAGAAGAUGAAAAAGAAACUUUAUUGAGAAGUUUGGCAGAAGUAAAAUGUGAACAAGACAAAUACCAAGCCUUGUUUUCAGAACUUCAGAAGUGCAAAAACAGCUAUUAUCAAACUAUUUCUGAUUUACAGGAGGAAAAAUGUGUGCUAAAAAGAACUAUAGACAGAAUCAAGAAAGAAACUGAAGAACAAUUUAAUGAAUUUCAAAAAGCAAAUGCAAACCUUAUUUUAGAAAACAACAAAUUAAAAGAAUUAGUGUCUUCUUUGGGUUUCACCUAUGAAGAUCUGAGAAAAGAAAAAUGCUUGGGAACAAAGGAAAAUGUAGUAAACCUAAAAGAAGAAAACAGAAGUAAACAACGUGAUCUUAAUCCAAAGAAAGUUGAAACAUCAUGUAGUAUAACUCAGACUGAAGAAGAAGGAGUAGACCCCUCCAGCUAUUUCCCCAGCAAAGAGGACAGCACAUUUGAAAGCUACAGUAUGAUGAAAGAGCAAGUGGAAAAGGCAAAAGAGGAACUAAAAAUAAAGCAAAAGGAAUUGGAAAAAUCAAAAAAAGAGGUAACCUCCCACUCUGAUGUAAUUCUCAGGAGAAAAUUUGUCUUAUAUUUUGUUUUCUUACAUGGAUGUUCUUUCUACAAGUGUUUAAUGCUUUUACAAAAUGGGGAAGUCUCUGAUCUGCAGAACUGA
ensembl:lncRNA